rnacentral:rRNA from 4 species
AGUCAUAUGCUUGUCUCAAAGAUUAAGCCAUGCAUGUCUCAGUACAAGCCAAAUUAAGGUGAAACCGCGAAAGGCUCAUUAAAUCAGUUAUGGUUCCUUAGAUCGUACCCACAUUUACUUGGAUAACUGUGGUAAUUCUAGAGCUAAUACAUGCAAAUAGAGGUCCGACCGGAGACGGAAGGAUCGCUUUUAUUAGAUCAAAACCAAUCGGCGACGGCUUGCCGUUGUCGUACUUUUUGGUGACUCUGAAUAACUUAUUGCUGAUCGCACGGUCCUGCACCGGCGACGCAUCUUUCAAAUGUCUGCCUUAUCAACUGUCGAUGGUAGGUUCUGCGCCUACCAUGGUUGUAACGGGUAACGGGGAAUCAGGGUUCGAUUCCGGAGAGGGAGCCUGAGAAACGGCUACCACAUCCAAGGAAGGCAGCAGGCGCGCAAAUUACCCACUCCCGGCACGGGGAGGUAGUGACGAAAAAUAACGAUACGGGACUCAUCCGAGGCCCCGUAAUCGGAAUGAGUACACUCUAAACCCUUUAACAAGGAUCAAUUGGAGGGCAAGUCUGGUGCCAGCAGCCGCGGUAAUUCCAGCUCCAAUAGCGUAU